rnacentral:rRNA from 1 species
AUUGAACGCUAGCGGGAUGCUUUACACAUGCAAGUCGAACGAGUGGCGGACGGGUGAGUAAUGUAUCGGAACGUGCCCAGUAGCGGGGGAUAACUACUCGAAAGAGUGGCUAAUACCGCAUACUAUUAGAGCGGCCGAUCGGGGAUUAGCUGGGUGGUGGGGUAAAGGCUCACCAAGGCAACGAUCCGUAGCUGGUUUGAGAGGACGACCAGCCAAACUGGGACUGAGACACGGUCCGGACUCCUACGGGAGGCAGCAGUGGGGAAUUUUGGACAAUGGGGGAAACCCUGAGCCAGCCAUGCCGCGUGUAUGAGAAGGCCUUCGGGUUGUAAAGUACUUUUGGCAGAGAAGCGUUAUCCGCAGAAUAAGCACCGGCUAACUACGUGCCAGCAGCCGCGGUAAUUC